rnacentral:misc_RNA from 1 species
UAAUAAGUGUUUUAUGGCACUUUUUAAAUCCAUAUCCACCUUGUGUGCAAUGUCAGUCGAUCUUCUUCAUUGGAGAUCGACCAAACAUCAACCUUUAUUUUUAACUCUUUGUCUGAAAAAUAUUAUGAAUAAACAAUUCAAAAUA